rnacentral:lncRNA from 7 species
CACUGAGCACUACUUGGCAAUUAGAAUACUAAUGAACUGCACACUGGGUUAGCAUGUUUUUAAAGGACAGCAAACAGUGCACUGAGAGGUGAGGGAUUCAAUUUAGUUCCACACGUCUUUAUGUGUUUACCUUCUUUCUUGGUAAGAAUUCAGAAAAUGUUUGUCUUGUUGUCUUUUGUCAAAAAUCCCACCCCAGAACUAAUUAUUUUUCAAAUGCAAAAAUCGCUGUGUGUGGUAAGUGGCUUUCUUGAAAGCAUUCUUCAAAAAUCCAUAAACAAUGUACAACAUUAAUCUUCACUGUUAAGAACACCUUCAGUGUCUUAAACAUUUGCUGUUUGUUUGUUUGUUUUCAUUUUUCUAGUAGAAUAUUUGCAACACUUUACCAUUCCACAGUGGUUUGAAGCUUCCAGCUUUCGUGCUUUCUAGAAAUUAGUUAUUGUAUUCAUUGCUGUAGAGCACACAGUUUCACAAACGGUAGGCAAGUUGAAGGAAGAAAUGAAUUGCCCAUGCCUAAAGUGUUUAUUUCUUAUAACCUUUAUAAGUGGCUACCUAUAGCAAGGCUGAAUGUAGUAGGAAAUGCUUAAUGAAUUCAAAUGAGGUCUGAAACAUAAAUUAAGCAGUCUAACCAUCCAUAGUAGCCAUGUCAUACUAGUCUCACUGAGAAAUGGAUAUUUAUUGCCCCCCCUGUGUCACAUUGUCAAAAUGAAUGAUAUAAUUAUACCAUAUCUGAGAUGAAGGAUUUGCAGGGGUUUGUAUUGGAUGCCCUUUUCCAGUCUUAAAAGUUAGUGGGGGCUGUAGUAGGCUGUACUCAGAUGCAGACAUUUCAUUUGCUAUUAGAGACUGUGACUACUGAAAUCUGGGGCUGCUGGCAGUGUUGUGUAGCCCAGGGUCAUGACAGCCAGGCUUCCUGCUUUCUCCUCUUGUAGAAAAAGCUGAGUUGAGACACGGCCAUUUUCACUAAGAGGACAGAGGCAGAUGGUACCAGAGCUGGGGUCAUUUCCUACACCCUCUCUUUCUUCCAACAUCCAGAGUAACAAGCUUAACUCUUUAGGGCUUUCCACCCUCUUUUUAAUUAGGUCUUUAUUUUUCCCUUCCCUCUUCACAGCAGCAGUAGUCAGUAGACAGCACCUUGGACUUGGGAGAUAAAGUGCAGUUCUUUCUACGCUGCUGAGCUUGACAGAUUUAUUCUGACCACGUACUUAUUGCCCUGCGUAUGCAGUAUCAGCUUGGUCUCACUGUUGCCCGGUCAGAAUGCUUAAACUUCUUGGUCAGCUAUACCACCCUAGCCCAACCUCCUCAUGCCCCGAAAAUGUUGCUAUGAGAUGCAGAGCCAAACCUACAUCUGGGAACACCAUUUCCUUACCUGACUGCAAACGUCAUUGGGUUAGGCAUGGAAACAUAAAGCAAGCUGACACGUCUUACCUUGCUCAAGUUGGACUAUACAUUUUGGAAAAAAAAGGCAUGCCCGAAAUUUCAGUGAUGUCAGUGAACUUUGGUUCUAACACCUAGCAAACAAGCUGAAACAGUCUUUUAGAAUUUAGAUUUAGUUGGCCAUAUAUUAGAAAUCAAACUUCAGAUCAGUUAAAUUGUCGUCAUCAACAGUAAAUGAGACCACUGUAUUCUAAAGAGUAUUUAACAUGUAGUUGAAGAGAAGUAAGAUAUCCUAGGAAUAUUUUAGACUCCAAGAUGAAUGUUUUCCCUACUGUUACUACAUUUUAAGUGCAAGAGCUUCUAUUUUUAAUGUUAUACUGAGGUAUGGAAUCAUCUGUAAAGAUGGUAACUGUCAGUACUUAAUAUUUGCAUCGUAUUUCAUUCCGCUUCUCUCAUCAUUGUUGACAAAUAAUCCUAGGUGUUAUACAGAUGCCUUUAUUGCAGCUUCCUGUGUGAAUCUAGAGCCGUGUUCUUGACCUGCUUUCACAUGGUGUGAACCUUUCAGAGAUCUUGAUUGGAUCGUGAACAAUCCAGUUGUGAAAGGAGAUGACAAGGAGUAGAGAAGAAACUCUGAGAAGAAUCUGGAGAAUAGGUAAAUAUUUUAUGUUCUCCCGACCACCACCAUCUACUUUGGACACCUUUCUAGGAAGUGCUUUUGUGAAUGGCUCGGCUGGCAGAAUUUUUCAUGGAAAGAGCUAAUGUUCAAUACAUAGAUCUGAGAAUGGAUAAAGUACAAGACAAGAAAACGAAGUGGAAUAGAUAAAUGAUGGAAGAGUAUUUUGGAAAGAAACUACUGAGAAAGCCAUGCAGAGACACGAAAAGGAUGAUCAUUUAAUAAUUUCAUAUAAGCGUUGUCACGAUCAAGGGAAGAAUGCGAUUCAUUUAAAUUUGGAAGAGAAUCUGAGUGACUGCUUUGCAUCAGUAAACUUCAGAGUGCUCUGUAAUUCAUCGUGCUCAACAGGAAGAAAAACAAGUUGAAGAAAGUGAAUAUAUAAUGCUGUUAGAACAGUUUUGAAUUUAGCUGAACUUUACUCUUCAGUUCACUGACUGGUGUGACAUUAAGAACACAAGAAAGGUCAGUUAAAUGGCAAUAUCAAAAAGUUUCUUAAAUUACAAGAUGGCUCUUGCCUGUGUCCAGGCUACUGGUGAAUCCUUAGCUAAUUAUCAUGGUAUGCCAAUAGACAAACACUCUACUCUAGAUGUACAAAUAUGUUCUUUCAAUGUUAAAAUUAUUUGCAGUGGUAGAGCAACAUUUCCCAAACUUCCACCAUGAUCAAACAGAAAGCAGAUUUUGAAAAGGUAUUAUUUAACGAUUUCUUUUUUUAAGUUUUGAAAGAUGGAGGCUUUGAUUUCUGUAAAGCUGUUUAUGGUACUCCUUAAGAUUUGACCUCUACCUUAAUGCUAUUAUAAGCGGGAAUAUAAUUAAUAUUUCUUUCCAGCAUAGGGCCAACGAGUCAGUAGUUCCUCAGGAGAGGAGAGCAUUAUACGUAUGCCAAGUAGGAGCACCACAUUUUGGGGUCCUGUUUGUACCAACCUGGGUUAAAGUUUGUUAUACAAGGGGGCUGUAAGCAAAAUCUUGAAAGUGCAGAAAUAAAAGACUGUUUGAUUUAC